rnacentral:rRNA from 1 species
CUAGUAAUGGCAGGUCAGCAUACUGCCGUGAAUACGUUCCCGGGCCUUGUACACACCGCCCGUCACACCAUGAGAGUUGGGAAUACCCGAAGCCUGUGAGCUAACUUUUAGAGGCAGCAGUCGAAGGUAGAAUCAAUGAUUGGGGCGAAGUCGUAACAAGGUAGC